UACGGGGGGAGCAAGCGUUGUUCGGAUUUACUGGGCGUAAAGGGCGCGUAGGCGGCAGGCCAAGCGUGCGGUGAAAGUCCGGGGCUCAACCCCGGAUCUGCCGUGCGGACUGGUUUGCUAGAGCACUGUAGAGGCGAGUGGAAUUCCGGGUGUAGCGGUGGAAUGCGUAGAGAUCCGGAAGAACACCGGUGGCGAAGGCGGCUCGCUGGGCAGUGGCUGACGCUGAGGCGCGACAGCGUGGGGAGCAAACAGG
rnacentral:rRNA from 1 species